GACGGAAGGUGCAAGCGUUGCUCGGAAUCACUGGGCGUAAAGGGUGCGUAGGCGGCUUGGUAGGUCUGGUGUGAAAGCCCCGGGCUCAGCCCGGGAAGGGCACUAGAAACUGCCAAGCUAGAGUGCCGGAGGGGAGAGUGGAAUUCCUGGUGUAGCGGUGAAAUGCGUAGAUAUCAGGAGGAAUACCGGUGGCGAAAGCGACUCUCUGGACGGCAACUGACGCUGAGGCACGAAAGCGUGGGGAGCAAACAGG
rnacentral:rRNA from 1 species